rnacentral:rRNA from 1 species
GGGUGCGAUCAUACCAGCGUUAAUGCACCAGAUCCCAUCAGAACUCCGCAGUUAAGCACGCUUGGGCUAGAGUAGUACUGGGAUGGGUGACCUCCCGGGAAGUCCUAGUGUUGCACCCU